CUGGUUGAUCCUGCCAGUAGUCAUAUGCUUGUCUCAAAGAUUAAGCCAUGCAUGUCUUAGUGUAAAUAACUCUUAUGAAACUGCGAAUGGCUCAUUAAAUCAGUUAUCAAAUACGUGAUGGUCGCCUACUACAUGGAUAACCGUAGUAAUUCUAGAGCUAAUACAUGCACAAAGGCCCACGCAAGUGGGUUGUGAUUAUUAGAUUCAAACCAGCCUUGUUCUGGUGAUUCAUAAUAAUUGGUCGAACCGCAUGCCCUUGUGGUGGCGGUGAUUAAUCCUUAUUUCUGCACUAUCAACUUUC
rnacentral:rRNA from 1 species